rnacentral:rRNA from 1 species
UACGUAGGGCGCAAGCGUUAUCCGGAAUUAUUGGGCGUAAAGAGCUUGUAGGCGGUCUGUCGCGUCUGCUGUGAAAAUCCGGGGCUCAACCCCGGACUUGCAGUGGGUACGGGCAGACUAGAGUGUGGUAGGGGAGACUGGAAUUCCUGGUGUAGCGGUGAAAUGCGCAGAUAUCAGGAGGAACACCGAUGGCGAAGGCAGGUCUCUGGGCCACUACUGACGCUGAGAAGCGAAAGCGUGGGGAGCGAACAGG